rnacentral:rRNA from 1 species
GAUGAACGCUGGCGGCGUGACUAAUACAUGCAAGUCGAACGCAUAGCGAAAGGUGCUUGCACCUUUCAAGUGAGUGGCGAACGGGUGAGUAACACGUGGACAACCUGCCUCAAGGCUGGGGAUAACAUUUGGAAACAGAUGCUAAUACCGAAUAAAACUUAGUGUCGCAUGACACAAAGUUAAAAGGCGCUUCGGCGUCACCUAGAGAUGGAUCCGCGGUGCAUUAGUUAGUUGGUGGGGUAAAGGCCUACCAAGACAAUGAUGCAUAGCCGAGUUGAGAGACUGAUCGGCCACAUUGGGACUGAGACACGGCCCAAACUCCUACGGGAGGCUGCAGUAGGGAAUCUUCCACAAUGGGCGAAAGCCUGAUGGAGCAACGCCGCGUGUGUGAUGAAGGCUUUCGGGUCGUAAAGCACUGUUGUAUGGGAAGAACAGCUAGAAUAGGAAAUGAUUUUAGUUUGACGGUACCAUACCAGAAAGGGACGGCUAAAUACGUG